UUAAACAUUGUUAUUGGCAAUAAUAACUUCCUCGACUCCAGCUCCUGUUUUAUAAGGGGAUUAUUGUUUCUGCAAUAGAAGAGAGAACAAGAGAGAGCAAUCAUAUGAACCUGGAAAACAGAUUAAUGGCCGCUCUCAAUCGUCCAUACCUAGAUGGAAAAAGACAUUCAGAUUGACAGCUGUGCAUAUAUACAUUUGUAAGGACUUUUAUGUAAUGGAAAUACAGACCCUCGGUGACUGUGUGCGGUGGCUGCAGUUUCCUCCGGUCGUUCAGGCUCCGCAGACUUCUAGGCCCCUGCCCCAAGGCGGGCUGAAGGUGUGCCGUGUCCGUUCAGAGGAGGCAUGACGCUGGGGUUUGGUUGAUGAGAACAGCUGCUGGGGAGCUCUUGAGAGGCAGAUUUGAGGACCCCCCAGGAAUGGCGGAGAGCCUCGCUGUCUCAGUCAGACGGCUAGGAGGAGGGGGUUUGGUCCUGGACGAAAUUUGACAUCGCACGCACACGCACACACACACACACACACACACACACACACAC